CCUGGCACCCCGACUGGGUACCUCCGUUGAAGGAUGCUCCUAGCGCUUCCUGAGGACUCCAAGCACUCUGGCAGACACCACAAUCACCGAACCGGAGAAACAAAUAAAUUCUCCCAAAGCAUAUGAAUGCUGUAGACAGUUGAAUAGGAACCAUACGAAUAGGUUUACUCUCCUAGCAGUCAAACUGGAACAGCAUACAAUAAAUCCUUCCCCCAAUAAUGAGAUGACACUUCACUUUGAGGGUUAAAACAGGAACUCCCU